rnacentral:rRNA from 1 species
UACGGAGGGUGCAAGCGUUAUCCGGAUUCACUGGGUUUAAAGGGUGCGUAGGUGGUCUGUUAAGUCAGCGGUGAAAGCCUGGAGCUCAACUCCAGAUUGCCAUUGAUACUGACGGACUUGAAUCAAGUUGAGGUGGAUGGAAUAUUACAUGUAGCGGUGAAAUGCUUAGAUAUGUAAUAGAACACCAAUUGCGAAGGCAGUUCACUAAGCUUGUAUUGACACUGAGGCACGAAAGCGUGGGGAUCAAACAGG